CCACAAAGGAAAGGCGUAUCCAGGUGGCCAGAGAAACCCAAAGCCAAAACCGAGCUGAAGACUACGCAAAAACAAAAGCCGUCUCCGGAUUCCAAAGUUCAGAGUCUCCAGGAAAGACGCAUCUGCGUGCUGCGGGCGGGCGGCAGGGGAGGCAUCUGCUGCAUCUCGGCCACGGGAGACCCGAGCCCAGGGGCCCAGGGCGGCAGGUGCGCCGCGCCCCCGCCGAGGCCAGCGUGCCCGGCCUCUCCCGGCCCGGGCCUCCGCUGCGGGUCCCGGCCGGAGCGGCGGGGUGGCGGCGCGCUGGAGAGCGGGCUUCUGCAGCCGGCUCCGGAGGCUGGUGGCGGGGCGCGGACCCCCGCCCCUCCCAGGACCGCCGUCCGCCCGCGACCUCGGCGCUCCUCAGGCCCGGCUCUCCUAACUAGCCCAGAAGAGUGAAAACCCGCGGUGUGAAACUUGACAAUUUAUUCCGGGCCCGGGGGAGGUCACCCGCAGUGCACACGCGGAUUGGCUGCGGCGCGCGCCCGGGCGUGCCGGCGCGGGGGCUGGCGGCCGCGGAGGCUCAGUGCGCGCUGGUGCUGACGACGCGGCAUCGCGGCCGCCCGGGGCCCGGCAGGCACCGGGCGCGGGUGUCAGGGCAGCGCUGAGGCUGGGCGCAGCGUGACAGGGCAGCGGUCGCUGCCUGGAACCACAGAAGGGCCCCACCCAUCCAGACUGGGUGGUUUGGAAGAAACGCUCCUUGCUGUUGGGUUUCAGACGUCACAGUCUCUAUUUGAAUCUUCCAGUUGACAUGGGCUCAAGCCAUUUACAACCAGCAGAUGUUCAGAAUGAAGGGUCUACUCCCACUUCAUGGUACAGAGAAGGAAAUUGAAGAUGGAAGGAAGAUGGAAGGCUUGUGAAGGCUGAUUAUGAAUCAUGUUUGAAGAGGAAAGAAAUGGUGGCUCAGGGGCAGGUUCUUGCCCAGUUCCCACUCCAGCCAAUCUCCCAACUGAAUGGGUCCAAAAACCUCUUCUCAACAAAGUGACAAAUGAGGCCCUAAUUCAUUGGCACUGUGAAUUCAAUCACUUAGCAUGAAUGGAGAAAGCCCUACAAGAUGGAUUCCAGCACAUUAAAUAGCUUGACUCACGUCAGGAGAAAACAGUCUGUGGGCCACUGGAAGAAAAACUUGAAAAAAUGGUUUAUUAACUGUACUAGUUUGCCUUAUCCCUGGACACUUGAAACUUAGUGUACAACACUUGUGAAGAUGUGAUGGAAUGUUUCAUCAGUAAAUAUGUGAACAAGACCUCUAAUUCUAUUUCUGAUAAGCUAAGGCAAAGAAGAAGAUACAAGACAGCACCAGUUUUUUAUCAGCAAAUUACUUAGGAAAAAGAAUUCCACUGUCUCAAGAAAAAAGAAACUCCUUAAGAGAUGAGCUGUUCAUCUCAAUUUCAUCUGGAUUAUUACCUGAAAAGAUGAAUAUUUGGUAAUGUGACAUGUAUCAGUAUUGCACAGUGAGAAAGAAACUUGUGAAAAUGUUUCUAAAAUUUUUCUCCCCUUUCUUUUUUAUUUUUUCAGAAAAGGAAGUAUUCUUUAGGAGUCUAAAAUGUGUUAGUUUGUUUUUAGCUAGCAACAUCCUUGACCACAUAAGUACACAGGGGAAAAAAACUUACUGGCUGGUAUGUCUCAAUAGAACAGAGAGGCUCUAUUUAAAAAAAUAGAAUCAAGCUAAUCAUGGCCAGCUGAAAACGAGAACAAUUUGGGUAAGUCUGAGUGUGGAAUGACCUUAGUUCUUAACUCCAGCAGAAACUGGGAAAAGGAAUGAAGAAGCAGGUUCUGUUUUUUAUCUUACAAUGAACUCAAUGGCAAAUCUAGAAGUAGCUUAAUUUUUCAACACUUUAGUUUUCUAACUUUAUAGUUGGAAGAAAAAGGACUACCUCAGCCAGUGGAGUGUAAGGACACUUGGUUUCCAGUGCCAUCUUCUCAGGUCACUUCAUGUGCCAAAGGGAGAGACUUGGGCCAGCAAAUGUGCAGCCUUCCCACGUCCUCUCCUCCACACCCAGGGCAGCCAUCACUAAUCAGUCUGGCCUUUUAUUCCUUUCUGGCCCAGAAUUCUCAAUACAAUAUUCCUAAUGGACUAGAAAGAGCAUGACAAUUGAAACCUACCUGCCAGCCCUAGACUAGAUGAGCUUUAAGGUCUUUUUUUAGCCUUAAAUUUCUAGGAUUUCUUCGUAAAUAUUUUCAGCCCUUUUAGGACAAAACACAAAUGGACAAAAUGUUUUCUGAGCUCAACACAGAGGGGAAACAAUGGAAAAGAUGGCUUAGUAUGUUGUGUUCAUGGCUGUCCAUGAUGGGAGAAACAGAAAACAAGGAUGGCUAUAUUUGAGUCUGCAGAGUCAAAAAUGCUUGUAUGCCCUUGAAAUAAGCCCCUAGUUCUCACCGCAGCUGUGGCUGCACAUCAGCUACCUAUCAACCUUGUUGAUAAGCCCAAAGCUCCAAUAGACUCAGACACAAGUCAAUAUCAGUU